ACAGGUUGAUCCUGCCUGUAGCGAUACGCUUGUCUAAAAGAUUAAGCCAUGCACGUCUAAGUUUAAGCAAUUAAACAGUGAAACUGCGAAUGGCUCAUUAUAUCAGUUAUAGCCUACUCGAUAGUACCUUACCACUUGGAUACCCGUAGUAAUUCUAGAGCUAAUACAUGCAUUAAAUACUCAUUCGAGUAGCAUUUAUUAGAUUGAAACCAAUGUAAAUGUUGAGUCAUAAUAACUGUGCGGAUCGUUCGUCAAGAGCGAUGAAUCGACUGGGUUUCUGCCCUAUCAGUUUUGGAUGGCUGUGUAUUGGACAGCCAUGACAUUGACGGGUAACGGAGGAUUAGGGUUCGACACCGGAGAGGGCGCCUGAGACACGGCGACCACAUCCAAGGAAGGCAGCAGGCGCGUAAAUUACCCAAUGCUAAUUCAGCGAGGUAGUGACAAGAAAUAACGAUUUUCGGUCUUCAAGAUCGGAAAAUUGGAAUGAGAACAAUUUAAAUCCCUUAUCGAGGAUCAAUUGGAGGGCAAGUCUGGUGCCAGCAGCCGCGGUAAUUCCAGCUCCAAUAGCGUAUAUUAAAGUUGUUGCAGUUAAAAAGCUCGUAGUUGGAUUUAAGUUUGUUUGUGCGUUGUGAUCGUGGGAUGACGAUGCAUUGAGCAGACAUUAUUUGGGAUUUGGGGUUUCUUGGCAUUCAGUUGUUGAGAUUCAACUGCCCAUCGUUUACUGUGAAAAAAUUAGAGUGUUUAAAGCAGGGGUUUUUCCUUUGGAUAUAUUAGCAUGGAAUAAUAAUAUAUGACUCGUAUGGUCUAUUUUGUUGGUUUGCACAUAUGAGUAAUGAUUAAUAGGGACAGUUGGGGGUAUUCAUAUUUGAGCGUCAGAGGUGAAAUUCUUGGUUCGCUGAAAGAUGAGCUAAGGCGAAAGCAUUUACCAAGGAUGUUUUCAUUAAUCAAGAACGAAAGUUAGGGGAUCGAAGAUGAUUAGAUACCAUCGUAGUCUUAACCGUAAACUAUGCCGACUCGGGAUGGUUAUGACGCUUUUUAGUCAUAGCUGCACCGUAUGAGAAAUCAAAGUCUUUGGGUUCCGGGGGAAGUAUGAUCGCAAGAUUGAAACUUAGAGGAAUUGACGGAAGGGCACUCCAAAUGUGGAACUUGCGGCUUAAUUUGACCCAACACGGGGAAACUUACCAGGUCCAGACAUAAUAGGGAUUGACAGAUUGAGAGCUCUUUCUUGAUUUUAUGGGUGGUGGUGCAUGGCCGUUCUUAGUUGGUGGAGUGAUUUGUCUGGUUUAUUCCGUUAACGAACGAGACGUGUGUAUGUCCC
rnacentral:rRNA from 1 species